AGAGUUUGAUCAUGGCUCAGGAUGAACGCUGGCGGCGUGCUUAACACAUGCAAGUCGAACGAACCUUCGGGUUAGUGGCGGACGGGUGAGUAACGCGUGAGAAUCUGCCCUCAGGAGGGGGAUAACGGUUGGAAACGACCGCUAAUACCCCAUAUGCCGCGAGGUGAAAUGAAUUUCGCCUGAGGAUGAGCUCGCGUCUGAUUAGCUAGUUGGUGGGGUAAAGGCCUACCAAGGCAUCGAUCAGUAGCUGGUCUGAGAGGAUGAUCAGCCACACUGGGACUGAGACACGGCCCAGACUCCUACGGGAGGCAGCAGUGGGGAAUUUUCCGCAAUGGGCGAAAGCCUGACGGAGCAACGCCGCGUGAGGGAUGAAGGCCUCUGGGCUGUAAACCUCUUUUAUCAAGGAAGAAGAUCUGACGGUACUUGAUGAAUAAGCCACGGCUAAUUCCGUGCCAGCAGCCGCGGUAAUACGGGAGUGGCAAGCGUUAUCCGGAAUUAUUGGGCGUAAAGCGUCCGCAGGCGGCCCUUCAAGUCUGCUGUUAAAAAGUGGAGCUUAACUCCAUCAUGGCAGUGGAAACUGUUGGGCUUGAGUGUGGUAGGGGCAGAGGGAAUUCCC
rnacentral:rRNA from 1 species